rnacentral:lncRNA from 1 species
GAAAUCAUGCUACCACGGGGCAAGAAUAAAGGCAAGCCAUGUUUCAAACUGUUGUUGUCUGACAUAAUUUGGGACUGUCAGAGCAGAACAGAAAACAAAUUGGGUAUUCUAGGUCAAUCUGAGUAAAUCAUUAAUAUCAUUACAUUUAUAUAUCUUUUUAUUCAUAUGUGACUCUGAAAGUAAUGCCUCCUAUUUGUUUCCUUGAAAACAACACUGAUACAAAGAUGCACAAAAACACUAUUGAAUAGAGCAAAUUCUCAGUUACAAAACACUACUUUCCAGCAUAGUCAUCACCAUUAGCUAUGCAUUUUCAUCAGCAAUGAACAAGAGCUUGUAUGCUGUACUCAUAAAAAUCUGCAUGACCAUCCAGAACAUGGCCUGUCUUUCAUGUCACCACUGCUCAAAUGCCCCAUCUACCACCUCACUGUGAUCAAAUCCACUAUUUGGUCUCCAUAAACUUUCAGCAAGCAUCAAUGAAUGUCAGUGGGUGCAAUUUUUUCCCCACAAAGCAAUUCAGAUGUACAUAUUUCUUUCCUGUGCACUUCUAUGUCAAACACCAUUUUGUCAGACUGCCCCUCUGCUGCCAUCUGUCACACAGCAACAAAAUGGAAUAUUGGCAGGAACAUUCAACCUCUACUGUGACAUCACCAACAUCUGCCUCUGACAUCAUGGGCCUACAUAAUAAAACAGGAGGCAUUACUUUCAAAGUAUCCCUCAUAAAUGUGAGUAACUCAGAUGACUGCAUUUAUAUCCAUGCUGGAUUCAGAUCAAGAAGUUGUCUUGUCAAUUGAGGAAUUUACUGGAAGGUCCCAGCUGACUGGCAGUUGUUGAAAGUGAUUCCAAUCUACAAGAAUGGCAAGGAAGAUCCAGGGAGUUACAACUUGUCAGUCUAACUUCUGUGCCAGGUCAUGAAGCAAAUCAUCGUGAGUAUCAUCAACACAGCAUAUACAGGAGAACCAGAUGUUCAGACACAGUCAGCAUAGGUUUAUCAAAGUCAGGUCCUGCCUGAAUAAACUGAUCUCCUUCUGUGACA